CCAGACUCCUACGGGAGGCAGCAGUAGGGAAUCUUCGGCAAUGGGGGGAACUCUGACCGAGCAACGCCGCGUGAGUGAAGAAGGUUUUCGGAUCGUAAAGCUCUGUUGUAAGAGAAGAACGAGUGUGAGAGUGGAAAGUUCACACUGUGACGGUAUCUUACCAAAAAGGGACGGCUAACUACGUGCCAGCAGCCGCGGUAAUACGUAGGUCCCGAGCGUUGUCCGGAUUUAUUGGGCGUAAAGCGAGCGCAGGCGGUUAGAUAAGUCUGAAGUUAAAGGCUGUGGCUUAACCAUAGUACGCUUUGGAAACUGUUUAACUUGAGUGCAAGAGGGGAGAGUGGAAUUCCAUGUGUAGCGGUGAAAUGCGUAGAUAUAUGGAGGAACACCGGUGGCGAAAGCGGCUCUCUGGCUUGUAACUGACGCUGAGGCUCGAAAGCGUGGGGAGCAAACAGGAUUAGAUACCCUGGUAGUCCACGCCGUAAACGAUGAGUGCUAGGUGUUGGGUCCUUUCCGGGGCUCAGUGCCGUAGCUAACGCAUUAAGCACUCCGCCUGGGGAGUACGACCGCAAGGUUGAAACUCAAAGGAAUUGACGGGGGCCCGCACA
rnacentral:rRNA from 1 species